rnacentral:rRNA from 1 species
UACGGAGGAUCCAAGCGUUAUCCGGAAUCAUUGGGUUUAAAGGGUCCGUAGGCGGUUUGGUAAGUCAGUGGUGAAAGCCCAUCGCUCAACGGUGGAACGGCCGUUGAUACUGCCAGACUUGAAUUAUUAGGAAGUAACUAGAAUAUGUAGUGUAGCGGUGAAAUGCUUAGAGAUUACAAUGGAAUACCAAUUGCGAAGGCAGGUUACUACUAAUGGAUUGACGCUGAUGGACGAAAGCGUGGGUAGCGAACAGG